rnacentral:lncRNA from 1 species
CAGACAUUCUGACCCUGGUCGCCAGGCACGUCACCCCUCACAGUUCUCAGAAAUGUCAUUGCUUACAGCAAUAAUCUGGUGCUCCGGGUGAUCUGCAGAGGACCAGAACCCGACCUCAGGCGGAAGGUUACAGAUGGUUGGCGUUGAAAGUCAGCCAAACUGAGCAUGAAUUGGCAGGACAACUUGAGGACAGCGUCGUUGGGCUCGUGGUGCUGUUUGCGACCUUCUUAGUACCGUGUGGUUAUGUGCUGAGCAAUCUUCGUGAGUUCAGAAGAGAGUAAAUGCAAGAAGAUGGGGAGCAGUCAUCAACAUCCCACGAGAUUUAAAUGAGUAACCGUGCUUAGUUGGGGUGAUGACGCAACCAUUGUGGGUAUUCAGUUUCAUAAUCGUUUGUGUAUGGUACCUCUUUUGCACUUUUCCAGUUCUGUGCAUUACAUGAAGAUGAGUUUGUGUAGUCAUUUAAAAAUGUUAAAUAAAGUUGAAACAUUCAUGCA